rnacentral:rRNA from 1 species
CUGGCGGCGUGCCUAACACAUGCAAGUCGAACGAGAAAGUGGAGCAAUCCAUGAGUAAAGUGGCGACCGGGUGAGUAACACGUGACUAACCUACCUCCGAGUGGGGAAUAACUCCGGGAAACCGGGGCUAAUACCGCAUAACAUCGCAAGAUCAAAGCAGCAAUGCGCUUGGAGAGGGGGUCGCGGCUGAUUAGCUAGUUGGUAGGGUAACGGCCUACCAAGGCGAAGAUCGGUAUCCGGCCUGAGAGGGCGCACGGACACACUGGAACUGAAACACGGUCCAGACUCCUACGGGAGGCAGCAGUGGGGAAUUUUGCGCAAUGGGGGAAACCCUGACGCAGCAACGCCGCGUGGAGGAUGAAGCCCUUUGGGGCGUAAACUCCUUUCGACUCGGACGAUAAUGACGGUACGAGUGGAAGAAGCACCGGCUAACUCUGUGCCAGCAGCCGCGGUAAUACAGAGGGUGCGAGCGUNGUUCGGAAU